AGGUCUUGACAUCCCGAUGCUUAUUUCUAGAGAUAGAAGUUACUUCGGUACAUCGGUGACAGGUGGUGCAUGGUUGUCGUCAGCUCGUGUCGUGAGAUGUUGGGUUAAGUCCCGCAACGAGCGCAACCCCUAUUGUUAGUUGCCAUCAUUCAGUUGGGCACUCUAGCGAGACUGCCGGUAAUAAACCGGAGGAAGGUGGGGAUGACGUCAAAUCAUCAUGCCCCUUAUGACCUGGGCUACACACGUGCUACAAUGGUUGGUACAACGAGUUGCGAGUCGGUGACGGCGAGCUAAUCUCUUAAAGCCAAUCUCAGUCCGGAUUGUAGGCUGCAACUCGCCUACAUGAAGUCGGAAUCGCUAGUAAUCGCGGAUCAGCACGCCGCGGUGAAUACGUUCCCGGGCCUU
rnacentral:rRNA from 1 species